rnacentral:rRNA from 1 species
UGCGUAGGCGGUUUGGUAAGUCAGAUGUGAAAUUCCUGGGCUCAACCGAGGAACUGCAUUUGAUACUGCCAGACUAGAGUACUGGAGAGGAGACUGGAAUUUACGGUGUAGCAGUAAAUGCGUAGAUAUCGUAAGGAAGGCCAGUGGCGAAGGCGAGUCUCUGGACAGUAACUGACGCUGAGGCACGAAGGCCAGGGGAGCAAACG